UGAAGAAGCUCCUGAACUGCCUUCUCAGAAUGGAAGAAGGAAAGUGAAUCAUUAAAUCCAUUAUCUGGUUGUGAGCAUGAAAAACUCACAUCCCCAUUUCCAUAAGAAUCAGUGGAAUUGAGCUUGCUAGGAGCCAUGAGUGAAAGUGAGUAAUUGAAGAAGACGAUACAGAGAGAAGCAGAUUAUCUCAUAAGGCGAUACAGAUGAUGCACAUGAAAUAAGAAGGGCAUCAGAGUAGUUGGAAGUUGAAAGUCAUAUCUAGAGAG
rnacentral:misc_RNA from 1 species